UGGAUAAACCGGAAAACCUUCCCCGGUAUCAUCUUAAAUCACUGGAAAGCUUAAAGUGCUUUCUUCAUAAAGCCUUUUUUUAAAUUCAUGAUUUUUAAGUCCCACAAAAAUUUAAACAUAUGACAUCCUGUUUGUUAAAAAUAGAUCGGGCUUUAUUUCAAGAGAUCGCCAGAAGGCUUGGGAUCAUCAUCUGAAGAAAGAGA
rnacentral:misc_RNA from 1 species